UGCAUUCCGUUCGAGUUGCGUAUGAACUCGAAUAUCAUUCGUUCGAGUUGUUAAAUUUCCGAACAUUACUCGAUCGACUUGCGUACGUAUUACUUCUGUUCGGUUUAGAAUCGUUCUAAUUUGUUUAUACAAGUGUGACGGUUUCGUUUACUAAGAAAUGAAUAAUAUAAAUAAUAUAGAACGUGUAAGUAGUGUUUACAGCUUUGGUGUUUAGUGUUCGAAAUUUCAAGUGUUCCCGAACGAGAGACGAUCAAAUCAUACAAGUCGAAGGAAACAAAAUGCAAAAUUCGAACCCGAACGGAAGUGUAGAUUCGUUCGUAUCACAAAUCCGUCGGAUUGCAGAAUCGGGGUGCACAUUUUAAAUUAAUUUUUUUUCACUUCGAUGAAACACAGACGACACCAUAUCUUGUUUUUCCUGUCGUCGCCUUAUUCCGGGAUAUGUCGAAGGCCUGGGCCAGCACAUUAAAGAUGAAGAGCCCAAGUCGAGGAGCUAGGAGAGGAUUCAUAAAAUAGAUAAAGCCAGAAGAUGCAUACCCCACCAAAAGUAAUGUUCCUCUGGUCUAUAUGAAGGGGUUUUUUUCAGACAUAGGCUCUAGUGCUGAAAUAUCAUGGAAGCAGCAUUCAAUUAUGUUGGAGCCAGAUUUA